rnacentral:tRNA from 1 species
UCCAGGGUACUCGAGCGGCAGCAGAGAGCUGGCUGUUAACCAGUUGGGUAACCAAUCCCCGUCGCAGGUUCGAAUCCUGCCCCUGGAG